UAUUCAUUAUUUUGUCAGUGAGACAAAAUAAACAUGCAUUUUGAAUGCUUCUUACGUGGAUUCAGACAGUAAAAACAUGAAUAAAGUCAGUUAUACAUUAUUUUAAUCUCCGUUUGAGUUAGGAUGGCUAAGCAUCUUGGAAUUCUUUUUUUUCUCUUUAUCGUAUCCCUGUAGAAUUACCAGGCGAACUUUCUGGGUUGGGAAACAUUUGAUGUACAGUUUACUGUGCACCUGUUUUCACUUCAGAACAUGUUUUCAUUACAAGAAUAUGGUGUAUUUUUCUUAAUUGUCUUUCAAUAACAUUUUUAUUGAUGGGGUUUAUAAUAUUUAUUCCAACACUUGGGAGAGAAUUUCUGAAGAUUUGGGCAUGUGUGUUAAUGCAUUUAUUUAGGAAAGUCAGGACACCUUUCAUUUUGAGGAUCCGUACAAAGGAAAAAAAAUUGCUAGAAUAAGUUUGGCAAGAAGAAAGGUAUUUAAGUAAUUUUAAACCUUACAGAAAUUCCUCUCUUCUUCAGGAAGUGGUUUCUUUAUAAGCCUUUGAAUUUUUCCUUUAGAAUUGUACACAGUUUUCCUUGAAGUUUUCACAAUGAUGUGUUUGUCAGCUUCAAGAAAUGCAAGGAGCUGUCCUCAUGACUUGGGGGUCACCUGUCCCUUUGGCUAAAGGAAGUCAUUGCAGAAAAUAAGCAAGUUCUGGUGAAGAUCUGCAGAGCGGCCGCUUCAGUGCACAGAGACAAUACACUGUACACAGAUUUCAGAUUGCAGUAGUGAACAGGCUUGUCCUGAUAGAGCUCCGCUGUCUCUGCACACCACUGAGGUGGACGUAACAUAGACCUAACUCUGGCAUUCCUUUCUAGACGCCUGGCAUGUAGGGCCUGAUCUGCAGUCUGAUGAAUUAGUGGAAAGAUGAUUUUCCGUUAAGGAUAAUGGUGGUAAUACUUCUCUUUAAAAAACUAAAAAUUAAAAAAGCAUGCAAUAUAAUUUGUGUGAUAACCUCGGGUGGAAGGUGAUGCAAGGAGUCUCAGAUUCUACAAUGAUGACCAUCUCAGCACUUAGUUUGGGCUCUGACACACAAUGUUUCACUCUGUUGUUUGAGAUUUUGCCACAAAAACCUUGGGAAGAAAGGAACCUUCUUCCCCAUUGCAAGGCUGGUAUUGUUUGGGAUACCCUGCUGGGCUUCUGA
rnacentral:lncRNA from 1 species